rnacentral:misc_RNA from 1 species
UUGGGUCUGCUUGAGAAAACAAGAUCAUGGGUCUUCAUGAUCUCGCGGGCUGACUCCGUGGAUGAGACAAUAACCACAGGCUUGCUGCCAAAAUGAAGCAACAUAAGAGGGCCAUAACGCUGAGCCAGUGGCACGAGGGAGCGAUGAGGGUAAAGUCCAAUUUGGUGGAGGUUUCCAAGAACUGGGAGAUUCGGUGGGGUGGGCGGCGGCUUUUUGUGGGCUACUAGAGGAGAAGUGAGCCAUUUUAUGAGGAAAUACACGAAGACGAGGAAGGGAAGGAUUGACACAUACCGUUGAUCUAACAAGUGAAUGAUGUUUAGCAUAUCCACUCACCCAAGAAUUAAUCGUGAUAGCUUUUCUUCUUCUUCCUUCCCUUUAACUUUUUUUUAAAGAAAAAGAGAAGGCAGCUUUUGUGUGCUGAAGCCUCUAGC